GUCUACGGCCACACCACCCUGAAUGCACCCAAUCUCUUCUGAUCUCAGAAGCUAAGCAGGGUCGGGCCUGGUUAGUACUUGGAUGGGAGAAU
rnacentral:rRNA from 1 species